GGAUGUGAGGGCAAUCUGACUGCGACAUCUGUUACCCCAUUGAUCACCAGGGUUGAUUUGGCUGAUCUGGCUGGCUAGGCAGGUGUCCCCUUCCUCCCUCACCGCUCCAUGUGUGUCCCUCCCGAAGCCGCACGUGGUCGAAAAGGAUGACCAUCCCUGAUAGAGGAGGACCAUUCUUCGGUCAAGGGUAUACGAGUAGCUGCGCUCCCCUGCUAGAACCUCCAAACAAGCUCUCAAGAAAAGAGCAAGAAUGAAAAUCACUUUUGUC
rnacentral:snRNA from 1 species